rnacentral:rRNA from 1 species
UACGAAGGGGGCUAGCGUUGUUCGGAAUUACUGGGCGUAAAGCGCACGUAGGCGGGUUUGUAAGUAGGGGGUGAAAUCCCAGGGCUCAACCCUGGAACUGCCUUCUAAACUGCAAGCCUGGAGGUCAGGAGAGGCGAGUGGAAUACCGAGUGUAGAGGUGAAAUUCGUAGAUAUUGGGAAGAACACCGGUGGCGAAGGCGGCUCACUGGCUCGUUUCUGACGCUCAGGCGCGACAGCGUGGGGAUCAAACAGG